rnacentral:lncRNA from 10 species
GGCUAAUUGUUUGUAUUUUUAGUAGGGACAGGGUUUCACUAUGUUGGUCAGGGCUCGUCUCGAAUUCCUGACCUAAGGUGAUCCACCCGCCUCUGCCUCCCAAAGUGCUGGGAUUACAGGCAUGAGCCACCACACCUGGCCCGAGAUGAUGCUUUUAAAUUCCUAAGAAUAACUAGAAUGUGCUGGGAAUGUAACAACUUGCGACAGGGAGAGACCCGUACAACAGCCUGCCGUACAACAGCCUGAGCUCUGUUUCAGUCCCCCACAGGAAGCAGGAUAUCCUUCACUACUUCUACGAGGGCAGUCAUGUUACCCUGGGGUAUAAAAACUGGGGUGGGCGGCUUUCCAGGAUUCUUCAUCUGUGUUGCAAGUGGUAUAUGCACAGAUGACAUUCUGUCCACUCCAGGCAGCUAUCCUGAGGCUUGUGAAACCAGCUCCUAACCAUCCUAGAUUUCUGUUGUCCUUUGCUGCCUAUGUAUAAAUAAUAAACCACUUCAUG